UUUUAGCCCGGAUUGAAACGGCAUCCUCCGCGAGCGGCAGCGAGCGGCGAUACAGUGGAAAGCCGGUACAACA
rnacentral:sRNA from 1 species